GACGGAGGGGGUGAGCGUUGUUCGGAAUUAUUGGGCGUAAAGGGCGCGUAGGCGGAUCGUUAAGUCUGGUGUGAAAUGUUCACCGCUCACCGGGGACACGCCACUGGAAACUGACGAUCUGGAGUGUGGAAGAGGCACAUGGAAUUCUGGGUGUAGCGGUGGAAUGCGUAGAUAUCCAGAAGAACACCGGUGGCGAAGGCGGUGUGCUGGUCCAUCACUGACGCUGAGGCGCGAAAGCCAGGGGAGCAAACGGG
rnacentral:rRNA from 1 species